UACGUAGGGCGCAAGCGUUAUCCGGAAUUAUUGGGCGUAAAGAGCUCGUAGGCGGCUUGUCGCGUCUGCCGUGAAAGUCCGGGGCUCAACUCCGGAUCUGCGGUGGGUACGGGCAGACUAGAGUGAUGUAGGGGAGACUGGAAUUCCUGGUGUAGCGGUGAAAUGCGCAGAUAUCAGGAGGAACACCGGUGGCGAAGGCGGAUCUCUGGGCCGAUAUCGACGCUGAGGAGCGAAAGCGUGGGGAGCGAACAGG
rnacentral:rRNA from 1 species